rnacentral:rRNA from 1 species
UACCAGCACCCCGAGUUGUCGGGACGAUUAUUGGGCCUAAAGCAUCCGUAGCCUGUUCUGCAAGUCCUCCGUUAAAUCCACCUGCUCAACGGAUGGGCUGCGGAGGAUACCGCAGAGCUAGGAGGCGGGAGAGGCAAACGGUACUCAGUGGGUAGGGGUAAAAUCCAUUGAUCUACUGAAGACCACCAGUGGCGAAGGCGGUUUGCCGGAACGCGCUCGACGGUGAGGGAUGAAAGCUAGGGGAGCAAACCGG